UACGUAGGGUGCGAGCGUUAAUCGGAAUUACUGGGCGUAAAGCGUGCGCAGGCGGUUUGCUAAGACAGGUGUGAAAUCCCCGGGCUUAACCUGGGAACUGCGCUUGUAACUGGCAAGCUGGAGUGUGGCAGAGGGGGGUGGAAUUCCACGUGUAGCAGUGAAAUGCGUAGAGAUGUGGAGGAACACCGAUGGCGAAGGCAGCCCCCUGGGCUAACACUGACGCUCAUGCACGAAAGCGUGGGGAGCAAACAGG
rnacentral:rRNA from 1 species